rnacentral:rRNA from 1 species
GACGAACGCUGGCGGCGUGCUUAACACAUGCAAGUCGAACGGAAAGGCCCUGCUUUUGUGGGGUGCUCGAGUGGCGAACGGGUGAGUAACGCGUGAGUAACCUGCCCUUGACUUUGGGAUAACUUCAGAAAACUGGGGCUAAUACCGGAUAGGAGCUCCUGCUGCAUGGUGGGGGUUGGAAAGUUUCGGCGGUUGGGGAUGGACUCGCGGCUUAUCAGCUUGUUGGUGGGGUAGUGGCUUACCAAGGCUUUGACGGGUAGCCGGCCUGAGAGGGUGACCGGCCACAUUGGGACUGAGAUACGGCCCAGACUCCUACGGGAGGCAGCAGUGGGGAAUAUUGCACAAUGGGCGGAAGCCUGAUGCAGCAACGCCGCGUGCGGGAUGACGGCCUUCGGGUUGUAAACCGCUUUCGCCUGUGACGAAGCGUGAGUGACGGUAAUGGGUAAAGAAGCACCGGCUAACUACGUG